AGAGUUUGAUCCUGGCUCAGGAUGAACGCUAGCUACAGGCUUAACACAUGCAAGUCGAGGGGCAGCAUGACAGGUGCUUGCACUUGUUGAUGGCGACCGGCGCACGGGUGCGUAACACGUAUCCAAUCUACCCAUGGCUCAGGGAUAGCCUUGCGAAAGUAAGAUUAAUACCUGAUGGUUUCAGACUCCGGCAUCGGGGUAUGAAUAAAGAUUUAUCGGCGAUGGAUGAGGAUGCGUCUGAUUAGAUAGUAGGCGGGGUAACGGCCCACCUAGUCAACGAUCAGUAGGGGUUCUGAGAGGAAGGUCCCCCACAUUGGAACUGAGACACGGUCCAAACUCCUACGGGAGGCAGCAGUGAGGAAUAUUGGUCAAUGGGCGAGAGCCUGAACCAGCCAAGUAGCGUGCAGGAAGACGGCCCUAUGGGUUGUAAACUGCUUUUAUGCGGGGAUAAAGUCAGUUACGCGUAACUGUUUGUAGGUACCGCAUGAAUAAGGACCGGCUUAUUCCGUGCCAGCAGCCGCGGUAAUACGGAAGGUCCGGGCGUUAUCCGGAUUUAUUGGGUUUAAAGGGUGCGCAGGCGGGCUGCUAAGUCUCCGGUGAAAUGUCAGGGCUCAACCUUGGCACUGCCGGAGAUACUGGCGGCCUUGAGAGUGGCGGAGGUAUCCGGAAUGUGUGGUGUAGCGGUGAAAUGCAUAGAUAUCACACAGAACACCGAUUGCGAAGGCAGGAUACCAUACCAUAUCUGACGCUGAGGCACGAAAGCGUGGGGAUCGAACAGGAUUAGAUACCCUGGUAGUCCACGCAGUAAACGAUGAAUGCUCGCGGUUCGCGACAGACAGUGAGCCGCCCAGCGAAAGCGUUAAGCAUUCCACCUGGGGAGUACGCCGGCAACGGUGAAACUCAAAGGAAUUGACGGGGGCCCGCACAAGCGGAGGAACAUGUGGUUUAAUUCGAUGAUACGCGAGGAACCUUACCCGGGCUUGAAAGUUAGUGACGGUACUGGAAACAGUACUUUCCGCAAGGACACGAAACUAGGUGCUGCAUGGUUGUCGUCAGCUCGUGCCGUGAGGCGUCGGCUCAAGUGCCAUAACGAGCGCAACCCUUGCCUACAGUUGCCAUCGGGCGCAGCCGGGGACUCUGUAGGGACUGCCACCGCAAGGUGCGAGGAAGGGGGGGAUGACGUCAAAUCAGCACGGCCCUUACGUCCGGGGCGACACACGUGUUACAAUGGCCGGUACAGAGAGAAGCGAAGCGGCGACGCCGAGCAGACCCCAGAAAGCCGGCCCCAGUACGGAUUGGAGUCUGCAACCCGACUCCAUGAAGCUGGAUUCGCUAGUAAUCGCGCAUCAGCCAUGGCGCGGUGAAUACGUUCCCGGGCCUUGUACACACCGCCCGUCAAGCCAUGAAAGUCUGGGGCGCCUGAAGUCCGUGACCGAGAGGAGCGGCCUAGGGCGAAACA
rnacentral:rRNA from 1 species